UACGGAGGGUGCGAGCGUUGUUCGGAAUUACUGGGCGUAAAGGGCUCGUAGGUGGCCAACUAAGUCAUGCGUGAAAUCCCUCGGCUUAACCGGGGAACUGCGUCUGAUACUGGAUGGCUUGAGUUUGGGAGAGGGAUGCGGAAUUCCAGGUGUAGCGGUGAAAUGCGUAGAUAUCUGGAGGAACACCGGUGGCGAAGGCGGCAUCCUGGACCAAUACUGACACUGAGGAGCGAAAGCCAGGGGAGCAAACGGG
rnacentral:rRNA from 1 species